UACGGAGGGGGCUAGCGUUGUUCGGAAUUACUGGGCGUAAAGCGCACGUAGGCGGAUCUUUAAGUCAGAGGUGAAAUCCCAAGGCUCAACCUUGGAACUGCCUUUGAUACUGGAGAUCUUGAGUCCGGGAGAGGUGAGUGGAACUGCGAGUGUAGAGGUGAAAUUCGUAGAUAUUCGCAAGAACACCAGUGGCGAAGGCGGCUCACUGGCCCGGUACUGACGCUGAGGUGCGAAAGCGUGGGGAGCAAACAGG
rnacentral:rRNA from 1 species